rnacentral:rRNA from 1 species
CGGUCAAGCUAAAAAGGGCGCAAGGUGAAUGCCUUGGCACUGGGAGCCGAUGAAAGACGUGGUAAGCUGCGAAAAGCUUCGGGGAGGAGCAAACAUCCAUUGAUCCGGAGAUAUCUGAAUGGGGCAACCCAAUGGAGUUCAUACUCCAUUAUCCAAUACUGAAUCCAUAGGUAUUGGAAGGGAACCGCCUGAACUGAAACAUCUAAGUAGGGCGAGGAAGAGACAUCAAACGAGAUUCCGUAAGUAGUGGCGAGCGAACGCGGAAGAGGGCAAACCGAGAGUAGAAAUACUUUCGGGGUACGGAGCGCAUUUAG